GACGAACGCUGGCGGCGUGCUUAACACAUGCAAGUCGAACGAAGUGGCGAACGGGUGAGUAAUACGUGAGUAACCUGCCCUCCUUUUUGGGAUAAGCCUUGGAAACGGGGUCUAAUACCGAAUAAAGGGGGAUGGGCUUGCGACCUAUCGGCUUGUUGGUGGGGUGAUGGCCUACCAAGGCGGUGACGGGUAGCCGGCCUGGGAGGGUGACCCGCGACAUUGGAACUGGGCUACGGCCCAAACUCCGACGGCAGGCAGCAGUGGGGGAUAUUGCACAAUGGGCGAAAGCAUGAUGCAGCGACGCCGCGUGGGGGCUUUAGGCUUUCGGGUUGUAAACCUCUUUCGAUAUCGAACGGGUAGGUGCAGAAGAAGCGCCGGCUAACUACGUGCCAGCAGCCGCGGUAAUAC
rnacentral:rRNA from 1 species